rnacentral:rRNA from 1 species
GACGAACCGUGCAAACGUUAUUCGGAAUCACUGGGCUUAAAGGGCGCGUAGGCGGGUUCUCAAGUCAGGGGUGAAAUCCUCCAGCUUAACUGGAGAAGUGCCUUUGAUACUGGGAAUCUCGAGGGAGGUAGGGGCGUGCGGAACUUCGGGUGGAGCGGUGAAAUGCGUAGAUAUCCGAAGGAACACCGGUGGCGAAGGCAGGUCUCUGGGCCACUACUGACGCUGAGAAGCGAAAGCAUGGGGAGCGAACAGG